rnacentral:rRNA from 1 species
AACGAACGCUGGCGGCAUGCCUUACACAUGCAAGUCGAACGGCAGCACGGGAGCAAUCCUGGUGGCGAGUGGCGAACGGGUGAGUAAUAUAUCGGAACGUGCCCAGUCGUGGGGAUAACGUAGCGAAAGCUACGCUAAUACCGCAUACGAUCUAUGGAUGAAAGCGGGGGAUCGCAAGACCUCGCGCGAUUGGAGCGGCCGAUAUCAGAUUAGGUAGUUGGUGAGGUAAAGGCUCACCAAGCCGACGAUCUGUAGCUGGUCUGAGAGGACGACCAGCCACACUGGGACUGAGACACGGCCCAGACUCCUACGGGAGGCAGCAGUGGGGGAAUUUUUGGACAAAUGGGCGCAAGCCUGAUCCAGCAAUGCCGCGUGCAGGAUGAAGGCCU